AUUGAACGCUGGCGGCAGGCCUAACACAUGCAAGUCGAACGGUAACAGGAAGCAGCUUGCUGCUUCGCUGACGAGUGGCGGACGGGUGAGUAAUGUCUGGGAAACUGCCUGAUGGAGGGGGAUAACUACUGAAAACGGUAGCUAAUACCGCAUAACGUCGCAAGACCAAAGAGGGGGACCUUAGGGCCUCUUGCCAUCGGAUGUGCCCAGAUGGGAUUAGCUAGUAGGUGGGGUAACGGCUCACCUAGGCGACGAUCCCUAGCUGGUCUGAGAGGAUGACCAGCCACACUGGAACUGAGACACGGUCCAGACUCCUACGGGAGGCAGCAGUGGGGAAUAUUGCACAAUGGGCGCAAGCCUGAUGCAGCCAUGCCGCGUGUAUGAAGAAGGCCUUCGGGUUGUAAAGUACUUUCAGCGGGGAGGAAGGGAGUAAAGUUAAUACCUUUGCUCAUUGACGUUACCCGCAGAAGAAGCGCCGGCUAACUCCGUG
rnacentral:rRNA from 1 species